GAUGAACGCUGGCGGCGUGCCUAAUACAUGCAAGUCGAGCGAACAGACGAGGAGCUUACUCCUCUGACGUUAGCGGCGGACGGGUGAGUAACACGUGGAUAACCUACCUAUAAGACUGGGAUAACUUCGGGAAACCGGAGCUAAUACCGGAUAACAUGUUGAACCGCAUGGUUCAACAGUGAAAGACGGUCUUGCUGUCACUUAUAGAUGGAUCCGCGUCGCAUUAGCUAGUUGGUAAGGUAACGGCUUACCAAGGCAACGAUGCGUAGCCGACCUGAGAGGGUGAUCGGCCACACUGGAACUGAGACACGGUCCAGACUCCUACGGGAGGCAGCAGUAGGGAAUCUUCCGAAAUGGGCGAAAGCCUGACGGAGCAACGCCGCGUGAGUGAAGAAGGUCUUCGGAUCGUAAAACUCUGUUAUUAGGGAAGAACAAAUGUGUAAGUAACUAUGCACGUCUUGACGGUACCUAAUCAGAAAGCCACGGCUAACUACGUG
rnacentral:rRNA from 1 species